CACGGCGGGGCUCACAUGGGACUAUUACUGGACGACUAAACACUGUGUUCAGGGUCACAAGUACAGCAGCACCGCGACGGUCAGUGUCAACCGAGGAGAAUGCUUAGAGACGAGGCUGAGAGUGGCGCUUUUCAUCACAAAGACUGUUCCUGGGAGUUUCUCUGUGGAAAAAGGCUGCUCUACUUGUGAAAGAAGCUGCAUGACUUCGAUGGAGGACCCAUUAACAUACCGACCACCUCCAGACGCUUAUCAGUCAUGUCUGCAAAGAAAUGAGGUUCAAAAGCCUCCUGCGUUGAUCUAGAAGUCUGCAGAAACUGAGAAAAAAAAAACCACUCCACACCUUGUGGUGUUGUUUUAAGAAUGUCUGGAUCAGUGAUGACAUCAUGGUGCGUCACAUCUGCUGGGCCGUCAUGCUUCUUGGACUCACCCCACAGGUUGGUGCCACCGUACAUGCUGGGUAUAUUGAUGACAGCAACGCCCGCUAUAGGGACGCUGCUCAGGUCCAAACGUCUGCCACUGCACUGUUGUUCCGGGACAAUUGUGA